UUGGUGCUUUCAAAGCUCAUUAAAGUCGCUCAGUGGCAGAUCGCCAGUCUUGUCAUUUGUUCUUCAAUCGUCCACUGUAUAUGUAUAAGAUGUUCACUCUAUUAUUAUUUCAAUCUUUUUGUCAAUGGCCUUUGUCCUAGCUAGAAUAGGCGGCGAGAUCUUCACUACAUACGUCUCAAACCACUAGCACGAUUACACAUUGUUUUGUCCAGUUACUCUUAGCAGAGAAUCACACUUUUCACAAAUUUAUCAAUACAAGAAAAAGGAAAAAAGAAGAACACUCACUCAAUCCAUGGAUAGUAGCUUGGAACGAAGCGGGAGCGCCCGAAUCGUUCCAGUUGCAGAAGAAGAAGCGAUAGAGAUCGAUGCCGACGAGAAGCGUCUCAACGAGCUGGGCUACAAGCAGGAAUACCACCGAGUUAUCAGUCCACUCCAGCAGUUUGCUUACACUUUCACUUACACUGCGCCGCUGGGAUUCGUCACGGGUUACUACGGCUACAUGUACUGCUACGGUGGUCCGGUUGCCAUCUUCUGGGGGAUGAUCGUCGCCACUCUCGCCAGCCUUUGCAUCGUUCUCGCCAUCGCCGAGGUCUACUCCAUCUUUCCGGCGCUGGGGAGUGUUUACUACUGGGUGGCGCAGCUCAUGCCUGAUAAGAAAGCGCACUGGCUGUCGUGGGGAGUCGGCUGGAUCUACACUCUCGGAGCUGUGUGUGGAACCGCGCUAAACGAGUACCUUCUCGGGAAGUAUGUCCAGUCGAUGGUGCUUCUCAGUACUGGAGGAGCGCGGAAAGGAGGAUUCACCCUGUCGAAUUACCAGGCAAGUUGUCAAAAACCAAGAGUUAUGGAAGAUGAGAAAGUACCUCUGAAUUUUUCUUAAGGUGGUGCUUGUCACGGCUGGAUUUUUCGUGAUCCAUCUCGGAGUGUCGGUGGUAAGCUCGAAGUGGCUGGGAUACUUGAG
rnacentral:lncRNA from 1 species